GCUAACUCCGUGCCAGCAGCCGCGGUAAUACGGAGGGUGCGAGCGUUAAUCGGAAUUACUGGGCGUAAAGCGCGCGUAGGCGGUUUGUUAAGUCAGCUGUGAAAGCCCCGGGCUUAACCUCGGAAUGGCAGUUGAUACUGGCAAGCUAGAGUGUGGUAGAGGGUAGUGGAAUUUCCGGUGUAGCAGUGAAAUGCGUAGAGAUCGGAAGGAACACCAGUGGCGAAGGCGGCUACCUGGACCAACACUGACGCUGAGGUGCGAAAGCGUGGGGAGCAAACAGGAUUAGAUACCCCAGUAGUC
rnacentral:rRNA from 1 species